CCGGCACGGUGGAGUAACACGUAUCCACCUCGCCGUCUACUCUUGGCCAGCCUUCUGAAAGGAAAGAAUUAAUCCAGGAUGGCAUCAUGAGUUCACAUGUCCGCAUGAUUAAAGGUAUUUUCCGGUAGACGAUGGGGAUGCGUUCCAUUAGAUAGUAGGCGGGGUAACGGCCCACCUAGUCAACGAUGGAUAGGGGUUCUGAGAGGAAGGUCCCCCACAUUGGAACUGAGACACGGUCCAA
rnacentral:rRNA from 1 species